GAUCUAAUUUUGUAUAAAAUAAUUUCAUAUGUAUUUUAAUCUUUCCUGCAGAAUAUUCAACUGAAGAAAAAUUGAAGUAUAAAUUUUGCAAACAUUAUGUGGAGAUUGGACACCUUACAGGGGACCUGAAGCCUAUGACAUUCUGGCACAUGGACUGUCAUGAUCAAGAGAAAUCUGGAGAAAUUCAGGCAAUAACAAUUUUACAGUUUUUGAGAUGGAUUGUGAACAUGGGUUUAAAGCCUUAGGAAAUGUAGUUGUUAAAGGCUCUAACCAGCUUCCUGGUCUGCAUAAUUACAGGUAAGCCUGGAUGUCAACUUUCUUUUUUUAAUGAUUGUUUUUUUAAUUAAAAUAUUUUAAUG
rnacentral:lncRNA from 1 species